rnacentral:rRNA from 1 species
GACGAACGCUGGCGGCGUGCUUAACACAUGCAAGUCGAACGGAAAGGCCCUGCUUUUGUGGGGUGCUCGAGUGGCGAAAGGGUGAGUAACACGUGGGUAACCUGCCCUUGACUUUGGGAUAACUUCAGGAAACUGGGGCUAAUACCGGAUAGGAGCUCCUGCUGCAUGGUGGGGGUUGGAAAGUUUCGGCGGUUGGGGAUGGACUCGCGGCUUAUCAGCUUGUUGGUGGGGUAGUGGCUUACCAAGGCUUUGACGGGUAGCCGGCCUGAGAGGGUGACCGGCCACAUUGGGACUGAGAUACGGCCCAGACUGCUACGGGAGGCAGCAGUGAGGAAUAUAGCACAAUGGGCGGAAGCCUGAUGCAGCAACGCCGCGUGCGGGAAGACGGCCUUCGGGUUGUAAACCGCUUUCGCCUGUGACGAAGCGUGAGUGACGGUAAUGGGUAAAGAAGCACCGGCUAACUACGUG